rnacentral:rRNA from 1 species
CUGGCUCAGGAUGAACGCUAGCUACAGGCUUAACACAUGCAAGUCGAGGGCAGCACUGCGGGCGCUUGCGUCCGCUGGUGGCGACCGGCGCACGGGUGAGUAACGCGUAUCCAACCUGCCCGCAACCGCGGAAUAGCCCGCCGAAAGGCGGAUUAAUGCCGCAUGCCGUCGGGAGAGGGCAUCUGGCCCCGACGAAAGGUUCGUUCCGGUUGCGGAUGGGGAUGCGUCCGAUUAGGCAGCAGGCGGGGCAACGGCCCACCUGGCCAUCGAUCGGUAGGGGUUCUGAGAGGAAGGUCCCCCACAUUGGAACUGAGACACGGUCCAAACUCCUACGGGAGGCAGCAGUGAGGAAUAUUGGUCAAUGGGCGGAAGCCUGAAACCCAGCCAAGUAGCGUGGGGGAUGACGGCCCUACGGGUUGUAAACCCCUUUUUCGCGGGGAUAACCGGUCGCACUUGUGCGUCCCUGCAGGUACCGCGUGAAUAAGGACCGGCUAAUUCCGUGCCAGCCGCCGC